rnacentral:rRNA from 1 species
CCUACGGGAGGCAGCAGUGAGGAAUAUUGGUCAAUGGGCGGGAGCCUGAACCAGCCAAGCCGCGUGAAGGAAGAAGGUACUUAGUAUUGUAAACUUCUUUUGUCGGGGAACAAAGGCUGAGACGCGUCCCCGGAUGAGUGUACCUGAAGAAAAAGCAUCGGCUAACUCCGUGCCAGCAGCCGCGGUAAUACGGGGGAUGCGAGCUGUAGCGGGAUUUAUUGGGUUAAAGGGGUGCGCAGGCGGGAGAUCAAGUCAGCGGUAAAAUGUCGGGGCGAAACCCCGGCCGGCCGUUGAUACUGGCAUUCUAGAGUUGGAGAGAAGUAGGCGGAAUGCGUGGUGUAGCGGUGAAAUGCAUAGAGAUCGCGAAGAACUCCGAUUGCGAAGGCAGCAUACCGGCUCCAGACUGACGCUGAGGCACGAAAGCGUGGGGAUCGAACAGGAUUAGAUACCCGGGUAGUC